rnacentral:rRNA from 1 species
UAGGGAAUAUUGCACAAUGGAGGAAACUCUGAUGCAGCAACGCCACGUGUGGGAUGACGCAUUUAGGUGUGUAAACCACUGUCAGAUGGGAAUAUAAUGAAUGUACCAUCAAAGGAAGCACCGGCUAACUUCGUGCCAGCAGCCGCGGUAAUACGAGGGGUGCAAGCGUUGUUCGGAAUCACUGGGCGUAAAGGGUCCGUAGGCGGAUAUACAAGUCAGAUGUUUAAUUUCGAGGCCUAACUUCGAGUUUGCAUUUGAAACUGUAUGUCUUGAAUAGAUCAGAGGUUGAUGGAAUACCUGGUGUAGCGGUGGAAUGCGUAGAUAUCAGGUAGAACACCAAUGGCGAAGGCAGUCAACUGGGAUCAUAUUGACGCUGAGGGACGAAAGCGUGGGUAGCAAACAGG